rnacentral:rRNA from 1 species
GUCCCAGUUCGGACUGGAGUCUGCAACCCGACUCCACGAAGUUGGAUUCGCUAGUAAUCGCGCAUCAGCCAUGGCGCGGUGAAUACGUUCCCGGGCCUUGUACACACCGCCCGUCAAGCCAUGGGAGCCGGGGGCGCCUGAAGUCCGGGACCGCGAGGACCGGCCUAGGGCGAAACUGGUAACUGGGGCUAAGUCGUAACAAGGUAGC